GAUGAUUGGGGUGAAGUCGUAACAAGGUAGCCGUAUCGGAAGGUGCGGCUGGAUCACCUCCUUUCUAGGGAGA
rnacentral:rRNA from 1 species